GGUCAUUUCAAGUUUGCCUUGAACACCUAAACACUGACAUUUUCUGCACAGUAAUUUGGGUUUUUGGCUUUGAGAACAACUAGAAAGUUAGGGAGAGGUGCCUCUCUUUUAACUUAGGAUCCAACAGCUUUCAAGCUGGCUGAGAGAGGCUGGAAUGCCCUUCCCAAAAUAUGCAUUGCUGCUGAGUGUUUUGGCUCCUGCUUCUACUCUGACCUCCUUGUUGAUUGCAGGCUGCGGUUUCGCUGUCUGUGCGAGGUGACUCACAGCGCUGCGCGCCCGGAGGGGGAUGCGAUCACCCGCACCAAGCCACCUCCUGACUUCCUGCACCGCUUAUCAGCCAAGCCAUCGGCCACGAGCUGACAUUUCAGCAUUCAGAAGCUCCCUGCCCCCACCUCCAAAAAGGGGGAAAAAAAAAAAAAGUGACAGGAGGAGAAAAGGGCUAAUUUGGCAAUAGUUUGCUCUUGCUGUUUGGCCUGGAGAAAGACAUUCAAAGUGGUGGAAGAUUGUUUAGUAACAGCUGGCGAGCACCAGGGUGUGAGGCUGAUUUUCAGAUAUGACAGGCACUUACAGGAAUGCUGCCAGAUACAGCUGUUUAAAAGCCUUAAUAAACAGCAAGUCAAUACUAAUCUUUGCCAAAUUAAUCUUUUCCCUGACAGCCCAUCAGAGCAAUUAUGCUUAGGCUUAUUGUAAACACACAAUUGUCAAACAGGGACGCUGCAGCCUUUAAAAUACUGCCUCUUGGUUUGUAGUCUUUCUUCAGCAGGGUUUGUUGUUUCUUCUGUAGCACGAGAAGGCUUCCCAUUUUAUUUUGCAGCCACUAUUGCUUUUUUUUUUUUUUUCUGGCCUCGGGUCAGUGUGAAUGAAAUUUCAUUUUCAAACGUCUUUGCUAGCAAGCUGUUAAUAAAAUGUGAAAUGACGACAGUCAACAGGAUUCGUGCUGGUGGGCUCCUUUAAUGAGGCGCAAUUGUGACCAGUGCAGAAAUAUAACAUGACAUUGUCCUCUGUCGUCUCCGGGUCCCAGGACGAGAACUUCAUCUUUGCUCCUUACCUCUGCAGUGUAAUCUGGCUCCAGGUACACACAAGUGAGAAAUGAGGAAGGCAAAGUCUAAUGUCUCUGUAUGCACAUGUAUUGCAAAGUAUGUGUGUGUUGUUGGUUCAGGGGUGUCCCUCCCUCCCAGCCUUCCUCCUUUGUGACUGGUGACAUCAGGAAGCCCUUCCGUGCCUCCUCCAUCCCCACCCUCCACCCCCAUGGCCCUUUCUCCCAGCAAUAGGCUUGUGUAAGGAUUUGGAAACUUUUCUGUUAGGUCAAGGCGUAUCCCUGAUGGCACCUGGUUCUGAAGCUCCUUUUGGGAGUCUUAAAAGCUAGGACAAUUUCUUCUUACCUGCCAUGAUUUAGCCAGAGUCCAGGAACUAUGAUCUUUUAUUUAUUUCAUCAAGUCACACUAGGACUUGGCAAUCAGAAAAAAAAAAAAAUCAGCGCGUGGUUUAUCGAUGCUUUAGUUUAGCAUCCUAUACACUUGUCUCCUGAAAUUUCUCUCCUGCACUCAACACUCCUACUUGUCUAGCACCUUUUUUCUCCUUUGCUUCUUGUUUUCUUGAUGUGACUAGUGUGUAUUCUUUUAGUUUUGCAACUAGGAACUCCUGUUCAAUUACAUAGACUAAAAGGAAAAAAGUGGCACAACUCAUUUUGAAAUUCUUUGUUAUCUUUUUCUAAGCUUAGAUUUCUUAGUGGAAAGGUUCCAUUCUUCAUCGCUCCUGAUGCUUGUCUGCAGUGUCUAAUGCCCUUCUAUAAUUUAAAGAGCUU